GAUGAACGCUGGCGGCGUGCUUAACACAUGCAAGUCGAACGCAGUGCUCUUGCUUCGGUAGGGGCAGCUGAGUGGCGGACGGGUGCGUAACACGUAGGAACCUGCCCCAGAGAGGGGGAUAACCGUUGGAAACGACGGAUAAUCCCGCAUACGCUCCUUCGGGAGAAAAGCUACGGCGCUCUGGGAUGGGCCUGCGGCCUAUCAGGUAGUUAGUGGGGUAAUGGCCUACCAAGCCUACGACGGGUAGGGGGCGUGAGAGCGUGGCCCCCCCACACGGGAACUGAGACACGGUCCCGACGCCUACGGGCGGCAGCAGUGAGGAAUCUUGCACAAUGGGCGAAAGCCUGAUGCAGCGACGCCGCGUGCGGGAAGAAGGGCCUUCGGGUCGUAAACCGCUUUUCUGGGGGACGAGUAAGGACGGUACCUCAGGAAUAAGUCCCGGCUAACUACGUGCCAGCAGCCGCGGUAAU
rnacentral:rRNA from 1 species